GCCUUUUAACUUAGUUGGUAGAGCGUCGGUCCCAGUACAAAUCCGGAGGUCGUGGUUGCAAAUCCCACAAGCAGUCA
rnacentral:tRNA from 1 species